rnacentral:rRNA from 1 species
CCAGCUCCAAUAGCGUAUAUUAAAGUUGUUGCAGUUAAAAAGCUCGUAGUUGGAUUUCGGAAGGUCCUUAGCAAUCCGCCCCUUCGGGGAGCGGGUUGCUGGCCUCCUAUGUUCCUAACGGUCCUCAUCCGCGAGGGUGGGGAAUCAACCGCUAGGAUCGUUUACUUUGAGGAAAUUAGAGUGUUCAAAGCAGGCGUAACUCGCCUCCGAAUACGUUAGCAUGGGAUAAUGGAAUACGACUUCGGUCUUGUUUCGUUGGUUUCGCUUGGCUGAAGUAAUGAUUGAUAGGGACAGUUGGGGGCAUUAGUAUUUAGUUGUCAGAGGUGAAAUUCUAGGAUUUACUAAAGACUGACCAAUGCGAAAGCAUUUGCCAAGGAUGUUUUCA